rnacentral:rRNA from 1 species
UCGGGAAUUUUGGGCAAUGGGCGAAAGCCUGACCCAGCAACGCCGCGUGAAGGAUGAAGUAUUUCGGUAUGUAAACUUCGAAAGAAUAGGAAGAAUAAAUGACGGUACUAUUUAUAAGGUCCGGCUAACUACGUGCCAGCAGCCGCGGUAAUACGUAGGGACCAAGCGUUGUUCGGAUUUACUGGGCGUAAAGGGCGCGUAGGCGGCAAUUCAAGUCAUCUGUGAAAUCUCCGGGCUUAACUCGGAACGGUCAGAUGAUACUGCUUUGCUAGAGUGCAGAAGGGGCAAUCGGAAUUCUUGGUGUAGCGGUGAAAUGCGUAGAUAUAGGAAGGAACACCAGUGGCGAAGGCGACCACCUGGACUGAUACUGACACUGAGGUGCGAAAGCGUGGGGAGCAAACAGGAUUAGAUACCCUUGUAGUCCCUGAGCGGGCUGGCAAGGCGCAU